rnacentral:rRNA from 1 species
AGAUUGAACGCUGGCGGCAUGCCUUACACAUGCAAGUCGAACGGCAGCACGGGAGCAAUCCUGGUGGCGAGUGGCGAACGGGUGAGUAAUACAUCGGAACGUGCCCAAUCGUGGGGGAUAACGCAGCGAAAGCUGUGCUAGUACCGCAUAAGAUCUACGGAUGAAAGCAGGGGAUCGCAAGACCUUGCGCGAAUGGAGCGGCCGAUGGCAGAUUAGGUAGUUGGUGAGGUAAAGGCUCACCAAGCCUUCGAUCUGUAGCUGGUCUGAGAGGACGACCAGCCACACGUGGGACUGAGACACCGGCCCAGACUCCGUACGGGAGGCAGCAGUGGGGAAUUUGGACAAGUGGGACGAAG